AAGAGCCGGAUGAGGCGAGAGCCUCCCGUCCGGAUCCGAGAGGGCCUGGGGGUGCAAUUCCCCCGGGCUACUCGAC
rfam:Singulisphaera acidiphila DSM 18658, complete genome.